rnacentral:rRNA from 1 species
GUGCCACCGCGGUAAUACGUAGGGUGGCAAGCGUUGUCCGGAUUUACUGGGCGUAAAGGAUGCGUAGGCGGACAUUUUAAGUCAGAUGUGAAAUACCCGAGCUUAACUUGGGUGCUGCAUUUGAAACUGGGUGUCUAGAGUGCAGGAGAGGUAAAGUGGAAUUCCUAGUGUAGCGGUGAAAAUGCGUAGAGAUUAGGAAGAACACCAGUGGCGAAGGCGACUUACUGGACUGUAACUGACGCUGAGGCAUGAAAAGCGUGGGGAGCAAACAGG